GUUUGAUCCUGGCUCAGGACGAACGCUGGCGGCGUGCCUAACACAUGCAAGUGGAGCGACGAACCAGGCUUCGGCCUGGGGCAAAGCCGCGAACGGGUGAGUAACACGUGGGUAACCUGCCCCGAUGAUUGGGACAACCCGAGGAAACUCGGGCUAAUACCGAAUGUGCCCUCCGGCCUCAAGGCCGCUGGGGAAAGGAAGCUUCGGCCUCCGCAUCGGGAUGGGCCCGCGGCCCAUUAGCUUGUUGGUGAGGUAACGGCUCACCAAGGCAAAGAUCGGUAGCCGGCCUGAGAGGGCGCACGGCCACACUGGAACUGAAACACGGUCCAGACUCCUACGGGAGGCAGCAGUGGGGAAUUUUGCGCAAUGGGGGAAACCCUGACGCAGCAACGCCGCGUGGAGGAUGAAGUCCCUUGGGACGUAAACUCCUUUCGACCCGGACGAUAAUGACGGUACGGGUGGAAGAAGCCCCGGCUAACUUCGUGCCAGCAGCCGCGGUAAUA
rnacentral:rRNA from 1 species